rnacentral:misc_RNA from 1 species
GAUGAAGAACGUAGCGAAAUGCGAUAAGUAAUGUGAAUUGCAGAAUUCAGUGAAUCAUCGAAUCUUUGAACGCACAUUGCGCCCGCCAGUAUUCUGGCGGGCAUGCCUGUUCGAGCGUCAUUUCAACCACCAAGCCCCCGGCUUGUGUUGGGGACCUGCGGCUGCCGCAGGCCCUGAAAAGCAGUGGCGGGCUCGCUGUCACACCGAGCGUAGUAGCAUACAUCUCGCUCUGGGCGUGCUGCGGGUUCCGGCCGUUAAACCACCUUCAUAACCCAAGGUUGACCUCGGAUCAGGUAGGAAGACCCGCUGAACUUAAGCAUAUCAAUAGCGGAGGA